rnacentral:rRNA from 1 species
CCUACGGGGGGCAGCAGUGAGGAAUAUUGGUCAAUGGGCGCGAGCCUGAACCAGCCAAGUAGCGUGAAGGAUGACUGCCCUACGGGUUGUAAACUGCUUUUAGAAAGGAAUAAAAUGAGGCACGUGUGCCUUUUUGUAUAUACUUUAUGAAUAAGGAUCGGCUAACUCCGCGCCAGCGGCCGCGGUAAUACGGAGGAUCCGAGCGUUAUCCGGAUUUAUUGGGGUUAAAGGGAGCGUAGAUGGGGUGUUAAGUCAGUUGUGAAAGUCUGCGGCUCAACCGUAAAAUUGCAAUUGAUACUGGCAGCCUUGAGUACAGUUGAGGUAGGCGGAAUUCGUGGUGUAGCGGUGAAAUGCUUAGAUAUCAUGAAGAACUCCGAUUGCGAAGGCAGCUGAC